AAAGGCGCAAUGAAAGUGAAGGUCCGCCUUGCGCGGACCGAGGGAGGAUGGACCGUCCCGAGGGACGGCCUCGCACUCCCGGGGCGUCUCGUUCUCAUCGCGAGAAGAGGCGCACCCAGAGCGUACACGCUGGGACCCGAAAGAUGGUGAACUAUGCCUGGUCAGGACGAAGUCAGGGGAAACCCUGAUGGAGGUCCGUAGCGAUUCUGACGUGCAAAUCGAUCGUCGGAACUGGGUAUAGGGGCGAAAGACUAAUCGAACCAUCUAGUAGCUGGUUCCCUCCGAAGUUUCCCUCAGGAUAGCUGGCGCUCGCUUCUCGCGAGUCUCAUUCGGUAAAGCGAAUGAUUAGAGGCAUUGGGGUCGAAACGGCCUCAACCUAUUCUCAAACUUUAAAUGGGUGAGAUCUCCGGCUUGCUUGAACUGUGAAGCCGCGAGAUAUCGGAUCAGAGUGCCAAGUGGGCCACUUUUGGUAAGCAGAACUGGCGCUGUGGGAUGAACCAAACGCCGAGUUAAAGCGCCUAAAUCGACGCUUAUGGGA
rnacentral:rRNA from 1 species